CAGUCAGUUUUGGUGACUGAAGCCUUCCUUUUACCCAGAGAACAGGUACAGCAUAGACAGCAGCAGAGUAAGUUUCCCAGUACACCAGCCCUGAGCUGGAGGGAACCUCCUUAGGUUAAGAAAAUAAUUCAGUUUCAAGGUCCAUUCAGCUCUCAGCCCAA
rnacentral:sRNA from 1 species